AAUCAACGCUGGCGGCGUGCCUCAGACAUGCAAGUCGAACGCGAAAUUUCCCUUCGGGGAGAAAGUAGAGUGGCGCACGGGUGAGUAACACGUAGGUAAUUUGCCUUUGGGUGGGGAAUAACUCAGGGAAACUUGAGCUAAUACCGCAUAAUGCAGCGGCUCGACAUCGAGACAGUUGUUAAAGCGGGGAUCGCAAGACCUCGCGCCUAAAGAGAAGCCUGCGGCAGAUUAGCUAGUUGGUAGGGUAAUGGCCUACCAAGGCAACGAUCUGUAACCGGCCUGAGAGGGCGGUCGGUCACACUGACACUGACA
rnacentral:rRNA from 1 species